GCCGGGCGCUAUAGUGCACUCCUGUAAUCCCAGCAUCUUGGGAGGCUGAGACAGGAGGAUCACAAGUUCAAAGCCAGUCUCAGCAAAAGCAAGGUGCUAAGCAACUCAGUGAAACCCUGUCUCUA
rnacentral:sRNA from 1 species